AAAACUAGCCAGUCUUUUGGGUAUGAAACCCAUUUGGGCGAGAAUAGUACUAGGAUGGGUGACCUCCUGGGAAGUCCUCGUGAAAGGGUUUC
rfam:Triticum aestivum genome assembly, contig: Triticum_aestivum_CS42_TGACv1_scaffold_159165_2DL